rnacentral:rRNA from 1 species
UACGGGGGGGGCAAGCGUUGUUCGGAAUUACUGGGCGUAAAGGGCGCGUAGGCGGCCAGCACAAGUCAGUUGUGAAAUCUCCGAGCUUAACUCGGAAAGGUCAACUGAUACUGUGCGGCUAGAGUGCGGAAGGGGCAACUGGAAUUCUUGGUGUAGCGGUGAAAUGCGUAGAUAUCAAGAGGAACACCUGCGGCGAAGGCGGGUUGCUGGGCCGACACUGACGCUGAGGCGCGAAAGCGUGGGGAGCGAACAGG